rnacentral:pre_miRNA from 1 species
AGCUUUCGACAUGGUUCUGAACAAUACGCAUUGCAUAUGUUGUUGAGAUCAUUAGUUGAAAGCCGA